rnacentral:lncRNA from 12 species
GAAAAUUCGUAUCUCCUGGACUGUGUCUUAUUUACGCAGGGCAGCCUGAACCAAACAUUCAGGGAUGUUUGUAAAUGUUUGGGUUUCCUUUUCCGUAUUUCCCCCUGUUGGCACCAAACCCGAAGGACCCAGAAUUCCCCAAACAAGGUUCCUACCCACAGCGAUGACUCGUAUGAACACGUAUUGAUCCAGAGGAUAUACGGAAACAGGAUUAAGUGCGGAUCCCGACCCCAGGGGUUAGGUCUGGCUGGUGAGCGGAGUGUAAACAGGGCCCGGCGGAGCCGCGGGAGCAGGAGGAGCAGGAGCGGCUGGCUGGGGGCCCGGCUGCGGACGGGGUGGCUCCGUGUUCGGCCCCGGCCGCGGGCUCCCCGGGGGGAUGUCCCUCCCGGCCUUCCGGGGUGUCGCCCGCCGGGCAGGCUGCACCGUUCAGCGCAGGUAGGAGGAUGCUUUGGGGCCGCCGUCCGUGCUCCUGUCUUCCAGGAUCAUGAAUCUCCCCAAAACGCUGCUUUCGAACCCACAGCACAGGAGGCGCUGUGCCCGAGCCUUGGCAAACAGAAGGGAGUGCGGCUCGCUGACUGCGUCAGUUCUUCCAAGAGGCUACGUGGUCUUUUCUCCUCAUUAUUCCUAAUCGAUCCAGUAACAGGCUGCCACGGAAGCCAAGGGGGGCAUUGGGCGGAGGCUGCAUCAGGUGGCCCUCACAUCCAUUCCAGCCCUGAGGUGCUGAGCUUGCCCCCCACCAGCAGCCCCAGGUCGGAGUGUAAGCCUCUACGCAUCCAAGUUGUGCCCCGCACCGCGAUGCUCUGGGAUCCACGCAGGUCACAACAGCCCCUCUCAGGAUAAGGCCUUUCACACCAGUUCCUGUAGAUGAAACAGGGGCAGAGACCUGGAAGCUUCGAAGCCAGCUGUGAAGACGGGGGAGACGUUGCUAAGACUCAGGGGUGUGCUGCUCGUCACCAGUUCCGAGAGUUCACUGUUAAAUUUUUAGGAAUGUUGUUAGCCAUUUGUUAGCUGGAGCCAUUAUUGAAAUGAAAUGAGAUGAAUUUAUGAUUAAUUAAAUUACAUUUUAAAAAUGAACAAAUGCUCCUAACUCAUGAUUUCCUCAACACCUGACUGCAUUGUACCACUGCCCCUGUGCCCGAGGGCGGUAACGUCCAUGAAUCUGCGCCUGGGCGAAGAUGCCAUGUGGUGGUGCGUGAGCGUCCGUCUUUUCUGGGUUCUGCAAUCCACGAUGUCGUGUUGCAAGCUUGGAAUUAGCGGUGGUGUUUUUGUGCCAAGAAAAUGAGCAAACACUGGGUUUCAGGGAGUGAGUGAUUGUUGAUGUCUAGGCUUAAGAAAGAGAUGAAGAAAUACUCAUAAUUCCAGUUAAGUUUAAAAGUGUGUGGUGUCUGUAGCCAUUGCAGCGUGGACAGCGCAGCCAGCUAAGGCGUGCUCGUCCAGCCUUCCACACUCUCCCUCAUCCACGGAGAAGCCUCUCAGGUCACUGAUGAAGGACUGAAGUCCCUGCAUAUCUUUAUUUGUCUUACUUAUUGAUUUAAACGAAGGUAUCAGCCAACACUCAUGUCAGAACUACACUUGCUUGUCAACUGCUGUCAUGGAACGGCUGUUAUCCAAGAUUUCAGCAGCAAUCAACGGGUUAUGCAUUUUGGGAGACUUAACAGGCUACAUGAAGUUUACUAUAAACAGUAUCGUG